rnacentral:rRNA from 1 species
UUUCGCCCUGCCGGAAGCCUUGUCCGCAUUGAAUCUGCCCCCACAGGGCAGGUGACACUCGUCUGUUGCUGGAAGUAAGCCUCCCAUCGGAGUUAAUCAGCUGCCAUCUUGUGGCCCACAGAUCAAACACGAGUGGCCCGUGGGUCCCCAUCGAUCCUUUGGUUCGGGGCCUCUCGGGUUGAGAUAUGACCGUAGCGGCCUUGCAAAAGGCUAAGAGACUGGUUCCGUAGGUGAACCUGCGGAAGGAUCAUU